ensembl:lncRNA
ACUCACGCAUUGGGCAGAUUUCGCAGGCAUAACUUCUACCAGGCACUGCACAAAAUGGAUGGAUUCUGACUGGGUUUCCAGUCUCUCCUUAAGGCUGCCUUGGAAAGCCGAUUAAAUGGGAUUUAGAUGAAGUUAAGGCUUGUCUCUGCUCCUGUCAGGGGAAAACAUCCACACUGUGGUUAUUAAUGAUUGAUCUGGGGGCCGUUGCUCACUUUUGUCUGGGCAGUGUCUGAGCCUGUACCAAAAUCCUGGCUGCAACUUUUCAGCUGGUUUGUGCGUUACAGAGGGUUACACCCAACUGCUGGAAUCAAACACCCUUCAGCACCCAGGGAGGGUAGCGUCUGACUGUGGGCACUUUGGGCUGUAAACACUUAGGACUGAGCAUCCCAUUGCAGCCAGUGGCAGCCAAGGACUGCAGAGGAGGAGGAAGAGGGAGAAGCGCUCCCACCAAAGGAUCUGAUCGGGCACCCAAUCCCUGCUGGUAUUGAGCCUCCUACCCCUGAGCCUCCUACCCCUGGAAGCUACUGAAUGGCUCAGCCAGCAACUAUUCCUCAUCCUCCAAUCCCUGCUCACAAUAUCCCCAGCCAAAAACAAGGUCAGGACUUGCUUCAGGCAGAAUGAGCACACCUGAGGCAGUGGGAAGGAGAACUAUGGUGACACUGCCAGUGGGAACACCUGUACUUGACCUCUCCACGUUGUUACUGGUGUGUUAAGGUAUGUUGCCCUUGCUGGAAUGAGGACAUACAGGCAGCCUGACUGGCCACAGGAGAUGCACUACCUCAGUCAUCUUCUAGCCUGUCAGAGGAGUCAGGUUUAUUUCCUGGCAAAAACUAAAAAAAAGUCAAUAAAUGUUUUGCAAAAUCUGGAGCACAGAAACAAUCAGGUCUGAAAUCUCCAAGUUUUGAGCAGCAACAUCUUUCAUAUGUAGGUGUAACUUCCCCCAGGAGCAAUGACCUCGCCUCCUGCCCUUAUCAGCAGGAAUCAGCCUUCCUAAGGGGAAUUACAGCUGCAAAACUGGAAAAAAAAAAUAAAAAAAAUAGAGAGAG